ACGGGAGGCAGCAGUCGGGAAUAUUGCGCAAUGGAGGAAACUCUGACGCAGUGACGCCGCGUAUAGGAUGAAGGUUUUCGGAUUGUAAACUAUUGUCGUUAGGGAAGAUAAAAGACAGUACCUAAGGAGGAAGCUCUGGCUAACUACGUGCCAGCAGCCGCGGUAAUACGUAGGGAGCAAGCGUUAUCCGGAUUUAUUGGGUGUAAAGGGUGCGUAGACGGGAAGACAAGUUAGUUGUGAAAUCCCUCGGCUUAACUGAGGAACUGCAACUAAAACUAUCUUUCUUGAGUGCGGGAGAGGAAAGUGGAAUUCCUAGUGUAGCGGUGAAAUGCGUAGAUAUUAGGAGGAACACCAGUGGCGAAGGCGGAUUGCUGGACGACAACUGACGGUGAGGCGCGAAAGCGUGGGGAGCAAACAGGAUUAGAUACCCUGGUA
rnacentral:rRNA from 1 species